GACGAACGCUGGCGGCGUGCUUAACACAUGCAAGUCGAACGGAAGGGCCCUGCGUGCGGGGUACUCGAGUGGCGAGCGGGUGAGUGACACGUGCGUGGUCUGCCCUGCACUUAGGCAUAAGCCUGGGAAACUGGGUGUAAUACCGGAUAGGAGCCAUUUUUAGUGUGAUGGUUGGAAAGUUUUUUCGGUUUAUGGUGAGUUCGCUGCGUAACAGCUUGUUGGGGGGGUAAUGGCCUACCGAGGCGGCGACGGGUAGCCGGCCUCAGAGGCUGGACGGCGACCCUGGGUCCUAGAGAAGGCACAGACUCCUACGGGACGCAGCAGUGGGGAAGAUUGAACAAUGGGCGCAAGCCUGAUGCAGAGACGCCGCGUGUGGUAUGACGGUCUUAUGGUUGUAAACCCCUUUCGUUAGGGACGAAGCUUUUUGUGACGGUACCUAGAGAAGAAGCACCGGCUAACUACGUG
rnacentral:rRNA from 1 species